UAGUUGACUACCAGUAGAAAAGGCAACUCUGCAACAAAUCUCUCUCUCUGAGCAGCAAUAAUUGCCUUCAUGUUGUACACUUCUAUAUCAUUGUAAGCUUAGCUAGCUAGCUAGCUCAUAUCCAUCACUUAACUGCCAUUGCAAAGUCUUUUCUUUGUACUAUAACUAUACACAAUCAUCAACUUAUAUUCUUGAUACAAACCAUCAACCGUGGCCACUUCAACUCCUAGUACCCUCACCACCGCCAAAACAUGGCCACCACCGCCACAUCCAGUCACCACCACCACCACUACCUUCCCACCUGACCAUACAAACAUGUUAGGCCUUCACAACAUACUCUUUAUAGCUCCGCCACCUUCUCCUUUUCACCACCACCAGCCUCCACACAUUCCCUCUACUCACCAAAUAGCCAACACCAAUGAUCAAUGUAACAUUGCAAACAAUCAAGAAUCUUGGACCACUCUCAAUAAAUACCAGCAAAAAUCUAGUUUUCUUAAAAGGGGUGAUUUAAAUGUUGUUGGGGAUAAUGAUACUGGAAGGAAUAUUGGUCCUGCAAGAGCUUGCAGGGACUGUGGAAACAGGGCAAAGAAAGAGUGUCAGUAUAGGAGGUGCAGGACUUGUUGCAAGAGUAGAGAGUAUGAUUGUACCACUCACAUGAAGAGCACAUGGGUGUCUGCUGCGAGGAGGCGAGAGAGGCUUGGUUGUGGUGGUGGUGGUGACUCUUCUGCUUCUUCUGGUGGUGGCUGUGUUGGUGGUAAAAGGCCAAGAGAAAAUGUGACUGCUACAUCUAAUAGUUUCAGUACUUCUAAUAACAAUGCUGCUGCUUCUGUCAACUUCGAUACAGGCUCUAGUUAUCAGGAUGCAAGCUUCAAACUGUCUUUACCUGGCCAAGUCCGUGAACCGGCAGUUUUCAGGUGCAUUAGAGUAACAGCCAUUAACAGUGGUGAAGCUGAGGUUGCCUAUCAAGCUAAGGUGAAUAUAAGUGGCCAUGUUUUCAAGGGCAUUCUUUAUGAUCAAGGGAUCGACGAGAAAAACCUGUUUCCAUGUGUUUCAAAAAUGCAGUCUGGUGAAAGGACUAGAGACUCCACCUCGCCAAUUGUUGAACCAUCCGUUGCCUACGCAGCCACAGGGAACCACAGAUUGCUUGAAGCCGACGAGACUCUACGCUGUGCUUAAAUUUACUGCUGGAGCUUGCAGCAGAAAGGAUAAUCUCAAUAAUGUUGGGUAGCUACUUGGCUACUAACUGCAAAGAAUUAAAACAUCUUGUUUUCUUUCACAGGACCCUUGCUUCAUAACCAAGCAAGGGUCAUUGUUGCGAUGUCACCAUCAUCUUGGGUAAAAUAGAAAAGGCAUGGCAUGUGAAUUACUUCCUCUCUACUUUAAUGUUGCAUCUGUCUCUUCGAUGCAAAAAUAAUACGAGCAUUCCAUCCAUGAUGUCCUUUCUUUUAUUUACUUUUUAACUGAAAGCAUAAGUUUCUUUAGGACUUUUGUGAUAACGAGCUGUUUCCUGGUUGUGCUUUUUUUACUGUUCCAUCCAUUUCAAUAUAUUUAAUUCAUUGCAAAAUUCUACUGAGAAGCAUUUAUUUUAUGGGAAGACAUCAAUUAUGGUGGAAACAUGCUCAUCUGACUCCUUCAUGGUGUUCUUGAGGUUAUGCUUUUCCUUUUUGAUGGAGUGGAAGGAUAUUUUCCCCGGUUAUAAGAUCUAGCCUCGUCUGAUAGGUGUUUUGUCAACCCGGGUACUGGCCUAGCCAGGUAAUGGAUGAGAUCCACUGCUGAGUGGUUUGGCUUCAAGGCAGAAGGUGUGAAUCCACCUCUUCUCUUAAAUUGUAUGUACUGGAAAGGGAUUUCAUAGUUUUUCCUAGUUUUGCUUCUGAGGUGAAACUCCUUUGGCUGUUCUUAAUGCCUUGUUCAGUUCGAACUUUCCCUCUCUUUAAUGGUGGACAAAGAAAAAUUCUUGGAA